CAAAUGCUAGCCCUUUCAGUAAACAUAGAUGAUCUGUGGAACUCCUUGCCAAAGAAUGUUGUGAAUACCAAACACAUGAGUGAGAAAUAAUCUAAUCAGUAUCACCAUGUCUAAAAGCACCACCUCUGUCUGAGAAAGCCCCUGAGCAGUAAUGGGGCUGUAGCUGGUCAUCAGGUUUGUCAGGUCAGGCGUUCUUCUGGCACAACCCAGUUUGCAGAUUACAUCAAAAUACACGAUCAUGCUUUUGUUGAGACACUACAGCCUGACACACACGAUUAAAACACCCCCCACACCACAUCUGUGACACAUUCCCUUUCUGUGACGUUUUUUCAUUUGCUGCCUUGCAGGUGCCACUUCCUGCCCUUCAGAGACAAACCAAACUACUUCUCAAGCAGGGGGUUUAAACAGAAAAGGAGAUAAUAUUGCCUCAAACACAGCUUCCACCUGAAUUCUCCUUCUGAGAAACAGUUAGCAAGCAAAAGAAAGACACACAACCCAUCUCACUUGAUCCUUGAGUGGCAGUGCCAAAAGAUGUCACGAUUUCCAUCAAAACCCAGAGUCAGGGAUCUUUUUCCACACUUUAGCAAAGCUUCUGUGAAGACCAUCUAGCAUAUUUUAUUCAAUGCCUCUCAAUCUCUGGAAAUGCUAUAGUGAGCAAAGCAAUUCUGAACCUAGCUCCUCUCCCUUGGGACAGUGUGCAGGCAUCUGGCAAAUCUCCCCAUCCUUCUCCAGGGCAAGGGGAGUUUACACAGCCAAUGCUCCAGGAUUUCCUAAAUCUGUCCACUCCCAGUCUGCUUCUUUGGGCUUGCUGGAUGGGAAUUCUCUGCUAGCUCAGCUAAGAGCAUUAGCCCUUCACAGUUCAGUGUCUGCUGCCAGCAUCACCUUUUGUGCUGUAGGCAAUUCUUACUGUCUCCCCAGAGGCUCUGGCUUACAAUCACAAACCUCUUCAGUUACUGACACUGCAUGAGCAGCUUCAUCAGGGACACCACAAGCCCCAGACCCCUCUGUCCUUGAGGGAAUUCAAAACUUACAGUUAUUUCUGGACAUUAAAGACUGAAAAUGUUCAAAAUGUUAGUUUGGCAAAGUGAGAGAGAUAUUAUUAGAUUGAAAUGAAAACAAAAAAUGCCUCUGUUUGGUUAUCUGAGCUGAGGAACUGCCUCUUGCUUUCUCCUUGCCACACCAGAGCACCAUUCACCACUGGGGCACUCAGAGCACUCCUGCUGCUGGAGGACAGGGAGCUCUGCCAGAUAAAUUUUCACAUCCUCCACAUGGCUGUUUUGCAGCAUGCAGAAAAUCAUUUCAGAGCAUCCUAGGGAGAGUGGCCACUCUGGAGAUGCUGAAAGAUGCCCUUUAUUCCAGUAGAGAGACAUUACUGCCAGCAAGAAAAUUCUGUACAUACCCAGAAUAAAAGAGAAGCCAUUACCAUAGAAAUAGAGAAGC
rnacentral:lncRNA from 1 species